UUUCCUUUAGAAUACAUCUAAAGCCUGUUUGGUUACUUGUUUUGGAAACCGUUUUCUGUUUCCAAAACAGCAAAACGUGUUUUUGAAGGAUAGAUGAGCGUUUGGUUAGUUGUUUUUAAAACAAAAACACCAGAAAAACACGAAAUUAGGAAACAACUCUAACCCGUUUCUAAAAACUAUUCUCUACUGCAGUGAUAAAACAAUGCGCGGAACGGUGGAAACCGGUUUUUCAACUUAAGUGCACAGUGUUCGCUUAGGGGGGAGAUCACGGGUUCGAUUCACCAUCAGGCAAUUUAUCUACCUUCUUCUUCAACACCUCUGCAUUUUUUCGUUUGUCUCGACUCCUAUUCGCUCUCUCUCGUAUCUCUCAUCUAUUUUCCAAGUUUCCAUACCCUAAUCACUUUCCCUCUUCCUCUCUCAAUCUGAGGUUGUCUUUCACUAUAUUGUUCUCUGAUCUGUUUAUAUGAUUGGAACAGAGCAUUUAGGCCUUGCAGCAGAAUGCUGUCUAGAAGCUCUGGCAUGUCAAUCUUAUCUUGGACUCAUGAUAUACUUCUGUAGCUUUUAACAACUAAUGUAAGGCCCGGUUCAAGGCAUGGAAGAAACAUGUGGAGCUAUCAGAUUCAGCCCGGCAUGGGAUAGCCGUCUUGAGGGAGAGCAUUGCAUAACAGAUGUGGCAGCAUUGAAAUAAUUAGAUGUGUAUGACCUUUGGAGGCGAUUAUGUUUAACUAGUUUAUUAUUUGUCAUGUUUAUGCAUCUUAUGUAAUGGAAACGACAAUACUUGACAUUAUUAGUACCAAGCAUUGAGGCUAUGGAAGGGUUAAUAUUUUGUGUUA